rnacentral:rRNA from 1 species
UAGGGAAUCUUCCACAAUGGGCGCAAGCCUGAUGGAGCAACACCGCGUGAGUGAAGAAGGGUUUCGGCUCGUAAAGCUCUGUUGUUAGAGAAGAACGUGCGUGAGAGCAACUGUUCACGCAGUGACGGUAUCUAACCAGAAAGUCACGGCUAACUACGCGCCAG